AAUCGAAGCAGUGAACUUAAGCCCCAGUAAACGGCGGCCGUAACUAUAACGGUCCUAAGGUAGCGAAAUUCCUUGUCGGGUAAGUUCCGACCCGCACGAAAGGCGUAACGAUUUGGGCACUGUCUCAACAACAGACUCGGUGAAAUUGUAAUUCCGGUGAAGAUGCCGGAUACCUGCGACAGGACGGAAAGACCCCAUGGAGCUUUACUGUAGCUUGACAUUGGGUCUUGGUACUACAUGUACAGGAUAGGUGGGAGGCUUUGAAACCAGGACGCCAGUUUUGGCGGAGCCAUCCUUGGGAUACCACCCUUGUAGUACUGGGACUCUAACCAUAGGCCAUGAAUCUGGUCUUGGGACACUGUCAGGUGGGCAGUUUGACUGGGGCGGUCGCCUCCCAACAGGUAACGGAGGCGCUCAAAGGUUCUCUCCGUACGCUCGGCAAUCGUACGUAGAGUGUAAAGGCAAAAGAGCGCUUGAUUGCAAGCCAUUCAGGUCGAGCAAGGAUGCAAACCGGACUUAGUGAUACGGUAGUUCUGCGUUGAAGGGCCAUCGCUCAACGGAGAAAAGCUACCCUGGGGAUAACAGGCUUAUCUCCCCCAAGAGUCCACAUCGACGGGGAGGUUUGGCACCUCGAUGUCGGCUCAUCACAUCCUGGGGCU
rnacentral:rRNA from 1 species